GGCAGCCAUCUUCCCGGGAAACCGUUUCGGCACUUCCGCCGUACGGCCUUUGUCACUGGCCAGGGCGGCUCGUUCCGCCCACUCGGGGUGACUUGACGUCAUGUGUUUAUUUUGUUGUUUAUCUCUGCUCCAGUGGAAUGCACUCUCCUCUCCAAAGGAGCAGAGACUUUGUUUUGUUGUGCCUUUGGCACCUAAAACAGUGCCUGCCAUUUGGAAUGAACAAGUAAAAGAGUGACUAGGAUGAACUUUGAGCUGAGAUCUGAUUGAAAUUAGGAAGGGAGCCAUGAGAUAUCUAUGGAAGAGAAUCCCAGAAAGAGGGAACAGCAAAGACGAAGCCCUGCGGCAGACGUGUACUAGAAAUGGUCAAGGAGCCAGUGUGACUGGAACAGAGGUUGUGAGGGAGACAAUAGUCAGAGAUGAGAGGAGGUGGGAGGGAGGAUGCAGAUUGCCUAGCGCCAUGGAGCCCACAGCAGGACUGUGGAUUUUAUUCUGAGACUGAUGGGAAACUAUGGGAGAAUUUUUUUUUAAUUUUUAACAGCUUUAUUGAGAUAUCUUUGACAAAUAAAAAUUGUUUAAGGUGUACAA